CAAAGGAAUUGACGGGACCGCACAAGCGGUGGAUGAUGUGGAUUAAUUCGUAUGCAACGCGAAAACCUUACCUACCCUUGACAUGUCCGGAAUCCCGAAGAGAUUUGGGAGUGCUCGCAAGAGAACCGGAACACAGGUGCUGCAUGGCUGUCGUCAGCUCGUGUCGUGAGAUGUUGGGUUAAGUCCCGCAACGAGCGCAACCCUUGUCAUUAGUUGCCAUCAUUUGGUUGGGCACUCUAAUGAGACUGCCGGUGACAAACCGGAGGAAGGUGGGGAUGACGUCAAGUCCUCAUGGCCCUUAUGGGUAGGGCUUCACACGUCAUACAAUGGUCGGUACAGAGGGUUGCCAACCCGCGAGGGGGAGCUAAUCCCACAAAGCCGAUCGUAGUCCGGAUCGCAGUCUGCAACUCGACUGCGUGAAGUCGGAAUCGCUAGUAAUCGUGGAUCAGCAUGUCACGGUGAAUACGUUCCCGGGCCUU
rnacentral:rRNA from 1 species